AUCACUCAUUAAGUAUCAUUUUUGCUAGUGUCUUAUACUCGUAUAAGUGGUAUAACAUCUAUAUAAAAAAAAUACAAAUAAAAAAAAACUUUCGCUAGUGUCUUUACUUUUAUUUAAAGCUUUAUCUCUUCUUUUGCUAGUGUCUUUACUUUCACUUAAAGCUUUAUCUUUACUUCAUACUACGUAUUAUUCAUUCAAGGAAUUCCUUCAUUCAAUUCAAUCUACCCCCUCUUUUUCUUUUCCUUUCCUCGAAGCAUAGGUGAACAAUGUCUUCUACAACCUCGCUCAAGCCGACGCCAAGUAGCCACCUUCACCUCUACCUCUACCUCAAUCGAAGCCGCACCACCACUACCUAUUGGCACCAUAGGCACCUCCAAUUGCUUGUUACUGCUACUUGCUGAUGUGAUGAUGUCACUAAUGCCUGCUGAUGUCACCGUCGUCUUCUGCUACUUCUCUCUGCUGGCCUAGUGCUGCUGUCUUCUGUUAGCUACUAAUAUGGGCGCUAUUAUAAGCCGCUGCUAUCUACACGCUGUUACUGCUAUCUGUUUGCUACUAAGCUUACUUAUUUUGCGUUUUCUAUUUUGGAAUUUGGUGGUCUGAUCUAGAGAAUGAAGUUGAGUUUCUUUUUGUUUUAAUUAUUAGAUUGUUUAGCCAAACAAACAAAUUGGUGUUUAUGGAUUUUUUUUAAGAAA